rnacentral:rRNA from 1 species
GAUGAACGCUGGCGGCGUGCCUAAUACAUGCAAGUCGAGCGAACGGACGAGAAGCUUGCUUUUCUGAUGUUAGCGGCGGACGGGUGAGUAACACGUGGAUAACCUACCUAUAAGACUGGGAUAACUUCGGGAAACCGGAGCUAAUACCGGAUAAUAUUUUGAACCGCAUGGUUCAAAAGUGAAAGACGGUCUUGCUGUCACUUAUAGAUGGAUCCGCGCUGCAUUAGCUAGUUGGUAAGGUAACGGCUUACCAAGGCAACGAUGCAUAGCCGACCUGAAAGGGUGAUCGGCCACACUGGAACUGAGACACGGUCCAGACUCCUACGGGAGGCAGCAGUAGGGAAUCUUCCGCAAUGGGCGAAAGCCUGACGGAGCAACGCCGCGUGAGUGAUGAAGGUCUUCGGAUCGUAAAACUCUGUUAUUAGGGAAGAACAUAUGUGUAAGUAACUGUGCACAUCUUGACGGUACCUAAUCAGAAAGCCACGGCUAACUACGUG